AGCGAACGCUGGCGGCAGGCCUAACACAUGCAAGUCGAACGAACCUUUCGGGGUUAGUGGCGGACGGGUGAGUAACACGUGGGAACGUGCCUUUAGGUUCGGAAUAACUCAGGGAAACUUGUGCUAAUACCGAAUGUGCCCUUCGGGGGAAAGAUUAAUCGCCUUUAGAGCGGCCCGCGUCUGAUUAACUAGUUGGUUGAGGUAAUGGCUCACCAAGGCGACGAUCAGUAGCUGGUCUGAGAGGAUGAUCAGCCACAUUGGGACUGAGACACGGCCCAGACUCCUACGGGAAGCAGCAGUGGGGAAUCUUGCGCAAUGGGCGAAAGGCUGACGCAGCGAUGCCGCGUGAAUGAUGAAGGUCGUAGGAUUGUAAAAUUCUUUCAACGGGGACGAUAAUGACGGUACCCAGAGAAGAAGCCCCGGCUAACUUCGUG
rnacentral:rRNA from 1 species